UGAGAGGACCUGUCCUUAGUACGAGAGGACCGGGAUGGACGAACCUCUUGUGUUCCAGCUGUCAUGCCAAUGGCAUAGCUGGGUAGCGAAGUUCGGUUGUGAUAACCGCUGAAUGCAUAUAAGCGGGAAGCACUCCUCAAGAUGAGAUCUCCCAACCCGUAAGGGAUAAGAAGGGCCCAGGAAGACUACCUGGUUGAUAGGCUGGAAGUGGAAGUGUGGUGACACACGCAGCUUACCAGUACUAAUCGCCCGUUCGGCUUGACCAU
rnacentral:rRNA from 1 species